AGUUUGCAAACAGCUAAACUGGAAGGGCAAUUGUGGAUACCCUUCAGUACUGAUUUCUUACAAGCAUACCAGGCUACACGACAUGCCACAACGCAAAGAUCACCCGCAGAGUUACUGCAUGGGAAACACAUGAAUACUAAACUGAACAUUGCUGGAUUCUUAAAGGCACGACCUGAUGCUCCAGACGAGGAUGAUAUUAGAAAAACAGUUGAACAGAACCAAGCAAAGUAUAAAGCUUUCACAGACAAGCGGCGGGAUGCUAAGGAACCAAAGUUUGAGUGUGGUACCUUCGUUAGAAUACGAAAACCUGGAAUCUUAUGCAAAGGGGACCAUAAAUUCACAACUCCUCUUAAAAUCAUACAGAAGAAGCGACCUUACAUCUAUUGACUUUCUUAUGGCUCUCUGCCAUUACACGAUGUAAUUGAAUUGGACUUGUGAUGGGUUGGAUCACAGAAACUCCCUUGGGAACUGUCAACUUCUGUGCCAAGACUACUUCUGCCCCUGCUUUCCCUGCCAGUUUGGGACUUCAGCACCCUGUCUUGCUGAACCAGGUACGCCAGAGCUGUGUGGAGAACCCAGGACUGGAAUAGCAGGGGGACUGCAGGGCAGGAUUGAGUUUUUAUUGGAAGAAGUAUGACCCAGUCUUCAAAAGAAGGAUACAGGUAAACGUCUCUGUCAAACUUUUUACAAAACCCAUGGACAUUUCGCAAUGUCUUUGUUUUCAAUUUUGAACCAG